rnacentral:rRNA from 1 species
UGAGUUUGAUCCUGGCUCAGAAUGAACGCUGGCGGUAUGCCUAACACAUGCAAGUCGGACGCUGUGCUCUUUUGCUUUAUGCAAUUGCAUUCGGCGCAAAGAGGCACGGGGUGGCGAACGGGUGAGGAACGCGUGAGAAUCUACCAAGCAGACGGGGUCAAUCCCCCCUAGCCUUCUUGAAUCGAGAAGAAAAAAGCUUCAUUCGAAGCAUGCUUGAAUCUUGUUCCACUCCCUUUUGGGAGUGACUUUGUUCCAAGAGGAAGUUUACUUCGAACAGCGCUGCUUGAUGAGCUUGCGUCGGAUUAGGUAGUUGGUAAGGAAAUGGCUUACCAAGCCAACGAUCCGUAGCCGGCCUUUUCGGGUGAUCGGCCACACUGGGACUGAGAUACGGCCUAGACUCCCACGGGAGGCAGCAGUGAGGAAUCUUGGACAAUGGGCGAAAGCCUGAUCCAGCAAUACCGAGUGGGUGAGACGAAGGCUAAUUAGGUCGUAAAGCCCUUUCGUCGAGAAGAGACAAUGACAAGACUCGAAAAAGAAGCCCCGUCUAACUCCGUGCCAGCAGACGCGGUAAUACGGGGGGGGCUAGUGUUAUUCAGAAUAAUUGGGCGUAAAGGGUACGUAGGCGGUCAGAUUGAGCUCAGACCUAAGCCAUAGGCUUAACCUAUGGACGGUCUUGCAGCUGUUCUGUCUUUGAGUUGGAUAGGGAAGAGUGGAAUUUCUAGUGGAGAGAUUAAAUUCAUAGAUAUUAGAAGGAAGGCCGGCGGCGAAGGCAACUCUUUAGAUCCAGACUGACGCUAAGGUACGAAAGCGUGGGGAGCAAACGGGAUUAGAUACCCCAGUAGUCCACGCCGUAAACGAUGAGUGCUCGCCUUUGGUCUUUCGAUCAGGGGCUUAGCAAACGCGAUAAGCACUCCGCCUGGGGAGUACGAUGGCAACAUUGAAACUCAAAGGAAUUGGCGGGGGCCUGCACAAGCGGUGGAACAUGUGGUUUAAUUCGAAACAACGCGCAAAACCUUACCAGCCCUUGACAUAGAGCACAGCGCCCUCUGAGAGGGGAGGCACUAUACAAUGCUUUACAGGUGCUGCAUGGCUGUCGUCAGCUCGUGUCGUGAGAUGUCGGGUUAAGUCCUAUAACGAGCGAAACCCUCGUCCCUAGUUGCAAAGUGCGGCUUGUUCAUCAAGCUGUUCACAGAACUCUAGGGAGACUGCCGGCGAUAUGCCGGAUGAAAGUGGGGAUAAAACAAAAGGCGCGAAAAGCAACUCCCACUAGGGAGGAAAGCGAAAAGCUCAAAAAAAGAGUUUUAGCCAGAGCAAUCAACUCUUUUUUUGAGCAAGGCCACGCGCCCUUACUUGACAUUGUCCCCGUGCAUGGUAACAUGCAAGAACAAAACUGGGUGAAUUGCAAAGACAACCUUCUACAGCUUUCUUAUAGUUGCUGAGAAGGUCAAUCUGCAGCGAAGCAUACCGAACGGAAAAGGCCUUAUGGUUCAUUUGUG